AAUAAUUUUAAGGUUUUCAUGUCUUUCUGACAGGUAUCAUUUGAUCAUAACCUCAUUGUCAUAGCUAAUUGUUCAAUGAUAUGUUUUUGUGGUUAUUAAAUAAAAGGAGAUGUGGUAUAAGAGCCAACGAGACAACUCUCCAUACAAGUCACAAUUUGUAAAAAGUAAACUAAUAUCGGACAAAGUACGGCCAUCAACACGAAACCUUGGGUCACACCGAACAACAAGCAAAAAGGGUCCCAAAUUGACUAGUGUUAAAUAAUUCAAACAGGUAAACCAACGGUCUAAUUUAUAUAAAAAACGAGAAACGAGAAACACCUAUUCACAAAAUCAACAAAUGAAAAACACUAAAAACAGGUUCCGUUCCUGACUUAGGACAUGUGCAAGCGAAUGCAGCGGGUUUAAACGUUUCAACAGUUUUUAUCGGUUACUUAUUGCAUUGGUCAUCCAAAUCGAAUACGUAAACAUGAAAUUUAAAAGUUUGCAUCUUUUUCAUUAUUGCUCCCA
rnacentral:lncRNA from 1 species